UCUUUUACUCUUUUACAAAACAAGACGCGGGACACAGUUCCUUGGUGGGACGUUUUCAAACUGAGGGGAUGGGUUGCACAGAGAGUUAGAGACUUUGCAUUGUUUUUGUUUUGCCCAUGAGCAGAGUGAGAGGACUAAGGAGAGACCGUGAGAUUGAAAACUCAAAAGUUCAAAACCCUAAUAGUUUGAAAGAGUGUCCUCGUUUCAAUGGUGCUUUGUGUUUUUUCUUCAUCUCAGGUUCGCUCUAAGCUCUAUAUUUUUUUCAUCUUAGUGGGGUUUUUUAUUUUCUUCAUUUCAGUCCAUUGUGGCAUGCGGGUAUUGUGAUUGUCGAUCUCCUUCUCUUCUGUAUCUUUUGCUUUUUCUUCAUCUUUUCCCGUUAGCUUUAUCUCUCUAUUUCUCUAUUUCUCAAUUUCUCGUAUUUGUUCUUUGUCCCAGUGUGUUGUAGUAUGGUUCUUAUCGAUUCCCUUUUUGUUCUCUAUGGUGUAGAUCUGAGCAACUCUUUAGAUUUUUUUUUUUUUAUUCUUCUCGAUUCCCUUUUUGUUUUCUCUAUGGUGUGGAUCUGCUGCUAUUGGUUGUGCUAGUAGUAGUGUUGUUAUUUUUGUGUUUAUUUUCGUUGUUAAUUUUCUGAUGCUGUUUUAUAAUAUUUUUUAGAUUAGUGGAUUUAUUAGUGUUUAUAUAUUUUUUAUACUCUUUAAGCUAAGACCAACUUUUACACACUUAUAUAAUUGUCAAAUGUAGAAUUGGCUCCUAUAUUCAAAGGUGAA